UACAGAGGGUGCGAGCGUUAAUCGGAAUUACUGGGCGUAAAGCGCACGUAGGCGGCUUGGUAUGUCGGGUGUGAAAUCCCCGGGCUCAACCUGGGAACUGCAUCCGAAACUGCCUUGCUAGAGUAUGGGAGAGGGAAGUGGAAUUUCCGGUGUAGCGGUGAAAUGCGUAGAUAUCGGAAGGAACAUCAGUGGCGAAGGCGACUUCCUGGACCAAUACUGACGCUCAGGUGCGAAAGCGUGGGGAGCAAACAGGG
rnacentral:rRNA from 1 species